rnacentral:rRNA from 1 species
UACGGAGGGGGUUAGCGUUGUUCGGAAUUACUGGGCGUAAAGCGUGCGCAGGCGGACCAGUAGGCAUUCUGUGAAAUCCCACGGCUCAACCCUGGAACUGCCUUAUAAACUCCUGGUCUUGAGUUCGAGAGAGGUGAGUGGAAUUCCGAGUGUAGAGGUGAAAUUCGUAGAUAUUCGGAGGAACACCAGUGGCGAAGGCGGCUCACUGGCUCGAUACUGACGCUGAGGUGCGAAAGCGUGGGGAGCAAAC